rnacentral:rRNA from 1 species
CAGCAGCCACGGUAAUACGAAGGGGGCUAGCGUUGCUCGGAAUUACUGGGCGUAAAGGGAGCGUAGGCGGAUCGUUAAGUUGGGGGUGAAAGCCCGGGGCUCAACCUCGGAACUGCCUUCAAUACUGGCGGUCUUGAGUAUGAGAGAGGUGUGUGGAACUCCGAGUGUAGAGGUGAAAUUCGUAGAUAUUCGGAAGAACACCAGUGGCAAAGGCGACACACUGGCUCAUUACUGACGCUGAGGCUCGAAAGCGUGGGGAGCAAACAGGAUUAGAUACCCGGGUAGUCCCUGUCUCUUAUAC